rnacentral:snRNA from 1 species
GUGCUGGCUUCAGCAGCACAUAAACUAGAACUGGAAUGACACAGAGCAGAUCAGCACAGCCCCUGCACUACCCGCAAAUUCUUGGCACAUCCCAUAUAUUU